UACGUAGGGUGCGAGCGUUGUCCGGAAUUACUGGGCGUAAAGAGCUUGUAGGUGGUUUGUCGCGUUGUUCGUGAAAUCUCACGGCUCAACUGUGAGCGUGCGGGCGAUACGGGCAGACUAGAGUACUGCAGGGGAGACUGGAAUUCCUGGUGUAGCGGUGGAAUGCGCAGAUAUCAGGGGGAACACCGGUGGCGAAGGCGGGUCUCUGGGCAGUAACUGACGCUGAGAAGCGAAAGCGUGGGGAGUGAACAGG
rnacentral:rRNA from 1 species